AAGGCGUUGCUGCGUGCCCCCACCCCCAACCCCCGGGCAAGGCGCUGCAGAAGCCAGAUCCCCGACCAGAGGCGGUGAGGAUGGGCAGGGCGCCGAGCCGAAGCGCAGAGGACAGGAGUUUGAGAGCCGCCAUCUUCGGCCCCGGGUGCGGGAGGAGGUGGCGCGCGCGGGAGUGCGUGCGAGUGCUGGUUGCCGGGAGCCGAAGCGGCGUCACCGGCUAAGAAGAGAGAAGGCAAGGCGAGCUGUGGGGCGGGAUGGAGGCUCGACCGCGCGUCAGUGACGUCCUCGGGACCUCAGAGCGGUGCCGCCCCUUGCUGCCUGCUGGCUUGUCAAGGAGCGAGACAGGGAGGGGCCCACGGCUAGGAAUGGAGAGGCUGCACAGCUAGGAUGAGCCCCGCGGGUUGUGCCGGGACCGGAGGUGCUGGGCUCCAGCUCGUCUGCCGGCACACCCGCAGCGGCGGGCGCUGCACUCAGGCUGGAGGGGGCGCUAGUGCCUGCCUUCCCCUCG
ensembl:processed_transcript Oxct1as cDNA Sequence BC037032